CAGUAGCCGCGGUAACACGUAGGGUGCGAGCGUUAAUCGGAAUUACUGGGCGUAAAGCGUGCGCAGGCGGUUAUAUAAGUCAGAUGUGAAAUCCCCGGGCUCAACCUGGGAACUGCAUUUGAGACUGUAUGGCUAGAGUGUGUCAGAGGGGGGUAGAAUUCCACGUGUAGCAGUGAAAUGCGUAGAUAUGUGGAGGAAUACCGAUGGCGAAGGCAGCCCCCUGGGAUAACACUGACGCUCAUGCACGAAAGCGUGGGGAGCAAACAGGAUUAGAUACCCGAGUAGUCCCUGUCUCUUAUAC
rnacentral:rRNA from 1 species